rnacentral:tRNA from 1 species
AGUUAAUUAGCUUAAAUUUAAAGCAUUUACUUUGAAAGUAUAUUAUAGGAUAAAACUUAUUAACUU